rnacentral:rRNA from 1 species
CAGCGCCACGAGUGGGAACCACGUUUAUUUGGCCUAAAGCGUCCGUAGCCGGAUUAGCAAAUUUCUUGUGAAAUUGUUGAGCUUAACUUAACAGCGUGCAAGAAACACUACUAAUCUUGGAACUGGGAGGAGUCAGAGGUAUUCUUUGGGGAGCGGUAAAAUGCUAUAAUCCUUAGAAGACCACCUGUGGCGAAGGCGUCUGACUAGAACAGGUUCGACGGUGAGGGACGAAAGCUAGGGGCGCAAACCGGAUUAGAUACCCGAGUAGUCC